rnacentral:rRNA from 1 species
UACAGAGGUCUCAACCGUUGUUCGGAUUCAUUGGGCGUAAAGGGUGCGUAGGCGGUCGUGCAAGUCGGAUGUGAAAUCUCAGGGCUCAACCCUGAAACUGCAUUCGAUACUGCGUGGCUAGAGUGCUGGAGAGGAGACUGGAAUUUACGGUGUAGCAGUGAAAUGCGUAGAGAUCAUGAGGAAGACCAGUGGCGAAGGCGGGUCUCUGGACAGUUCCUGACACUGAGGCACGAAGGCCAGGGGAGCAAACGGG